rnacentral:tRNA from 2 species
GCCCGCAUAGUUAAAUGGUAUAACGCGAAUCUUGUAAAUUCGAGUCUUUGGUUCGAUUCCAGAUGUAGGUA